rfam:Mustela putorius furo unplaced genomic scaffold scaffold00168, whole genome shotgun sequence.
ACCUGGCUGGCUCAGUUGGAAGAGCAUUAGACUCUUGAUCUUGGGGUUGUGAGUUCAAGCCCCACAUUGGAUA